rnacentral:rRNA from 1 species
UACAGAGGUCCCAAGCGUUGUUCGGAUUCACUGGGCGUAAAGCGUGCGCAGGCGGCUUGCCAAGUCAGAUGUGAAAGCCCCGGGCUUAACCUGGGAAUGGCGUUUGAAACUGGCAGGCUAGAGUUUGGCAGAGGGGGGUGGAAUUCCACGUGUAGCAGUGAAAUGCGUAGAGAUGUGGAGGAACACCGAUGGCGAAGGCAGCCCCCUGGGCCAAAACUGACGCUCAGGCACGAAAGCGUGGGGAGCAAACAGG